GGUCUGUUAGCUCAGCUGGUUAGAGCGUGGUGCUCAUAAUUCCAAAGUCAUGGGUUCGAUCCCCACAUGGGCCA
rnacentral:tRNA from 1 species